GAGAUGCCAGGCGCUGCAGGCACCCACAUGGCUGCAACUCUCACUGUUCCUCUGCUGAGGCCUGGGGUGGUGUGCUGUGGUCCUAAGCAAGUUCCUCAUGGUUGUGCCUCUCUCCGUUCCUCUGUUCUUUUAAAACUCUAUGAGAAGAACCUGGAAUCCACCUCUGGAAGGAGAGGUGAACAUCACCAAACCCAGUAA
rnacentral:lncRNA from 1 species